GUGAGGACGCCAUAUUGGAUGGCCCCGGAAGUAAUUUUAGCCAUGGACGAAGGGCAGUAUGACGGGAAAGUGGACGUCUGGUCUCUUGGGAUCACGUGUAUCGAAUUAGCCGAAAGGAAGCCGCCUCUGUUCAACAUGAACGCAAUGAGUGCCUUAUACCACAUAGCGCAGAAUGAGUCCCCAACACUCCAGUCCAACG